rnacentral:lncRNA from 1 species
CCAAAGGGUGUGGCCCGACUGGCCCUCCAAGCAAUGGAGUAUCCAUAGUAACGCGUCAGCCGCCGACCUCGGGCCAUUUUCCCAAGGCUCCAGGAUCUCUAGAUGUCCCGUCGUCUCAAGGGCGUGUAGAACGCGGGUUUUGGGGGAGGAAUGAACAAAAAUCGACUGGGAGUUUUUUCAAAACACGUACAUAUGCCCUGCCACCCACCCCGCUCUCCUAGGUGCGUCAGAACUGCUGGGACAUCUGUCACGUGAAGGGUCACGUGUACUUGGGGAAGAACUCCCCCGGUGAUUCUGACACUCUUGCCCUACGCCUCAGCCAUUGAGAACUAUUGGUAUGGAGGGCCUGUAAUUUAUCAAGGCGCGGCCUCAGAUCUGUCUGCCUCGCAGAUACCUUCCUCACCCGGGUCAGAAUGACUUGCCUCAGGCUCCUGCCAAAGAGUUUGCACCACUCGUUUCUUCCC